CGAGUGUCCUGCGUGCGUUCU
rnacentral:misc_RNA from 1 species